UACGUAGGGUGCGAGCGUUACUCGGAAUUACUGGGCGUAAAGCGUGCGCAGGCGGCGCGUUAAGACAGGUGUGAAAUCUCCGAGCUUAACUCGGAAAGGUCAACUGAUACUGCGCGGCUAGAGUGCAGAAGGGGCAACUGGAAUUCUCGGUGUAGCGGUGAAAUGCGUAGAUAUCGAGAGGAACACCUGCGGCGAAGGCGGGUUGCUGGGCUGACACUGACGCUGAUGCGCGAAAGCCAGGGGAGCGAACGGG
rnacentral:rRNA from 1 species